UACGUAGGGGGCAAGCGUUAUCCGGAUUUACUGGGUGUAAAGGGAGCGUAGGUGGCAGGGCAAGUCAGAUGUGAAAACCCGGGGCUCAACUCCGGGAGUGCAUUUGAAACUGUCCAGCUAGAGUGCAGGAGAGGUAAGCGGAAUUCCUAGUGUAGCGGUGAAAUGCAUAGAUAUUAGGAGGAACACCAGUGGCGAAGGCGGUCUGCUGGACAGCAACUGACGCUGAGGCGCGAAAGCGUGGGGAGCAAACAGG
rnacentral:rRNA from 1 species